rnacentral:rRNA from 1 species
AGACAAUAGAUACCCUGGUAGUCCACGCCGUAAACUAUGGAUGCUAGCUGUUAGAGGUAUCGACCCCUCUAGUAGCGAAAGCUAACGCGUUAAGCAUCCCGCCUGUGGAGUACGGUCGCAAGACUAAAACAUAAAGGAAUUGACGGGGACCCGCACAAGCGGUGGAGCGUGUUGUUUAAUUCGAUGGUAAGCGAAGAACCUUACCCAGGCUUGACAUCCUUGGAAUUUUGGCGAAAGCCGAGAGUGCCUUCGGGAACCAAGUGACAGGUGUUGCAUGGCCGUCGUCAGCUCGUGUCGUGAGAUGUUUGGUUAAGUCCAUCAACGAGCGCAACCCUUAUAGUUAGUUGAAUUUUUCUAGCUAGACUGCCCUGGCAACAGGGAGGAAGGAGGGGAUGAUGUCAGGUCAGUAUUACCCUUACGUCUGGGGCUACAAACACGCUACAAUGGCCGGUACAAAGGGCAGCCAAGUCGCGAGACGGAGCAAAUCCCAUCAAAG